CACUGAUACGCCAGUUCCCAUACAAUUACAAAAGUUAAGCAACAUUGAGCCUGGUCAGUAUCUGGAUGGGUGACUGCAUGAGAAUACCAGGUUUUGUAAG